GCAUUGGUGGUUCAGUGGUAGAAUUCUCGCCUGCCACGCGGGAGAUCCAGGUGUGACUUCCGGCCAAUGCA
rnacentral:tRNA from 1 species